AUUGAACGCUGGCGGAAUGCUUUACACAUGCAAGUCGAACGAUGAACCUUAGCUUGCUACGGUGAUUAGUGGCGAACGGGUGAGUAAUAUAUCGGAACGUGCCUGUUAAUGGGGGAUAACUAGUCGAAAGAUUAGCUAAUACCGCAUACGCCCUGAGGGGGAAAGUAGGGGAUCUUCGGACCUUACGUUAUAAGAGCGGCCGAUAUCUGAUUAGCUAGUUGGUGGGGUAAUGGCCUACCAAGGCGACGAUCAGUAGCUGGUCUGAGAGGACGACCAGCCACACUGGAACUGAGACACGGUCCAGACUCCUACGGGAGGCAGCAGUGGGGAAUUUUGGACAAUGGGCGCAAGCCUGAUCCAGCCAUUCCGCGUGAGUGAAGAAGGCCUUCGGGUUGUAAAGCUCUUUCGCAAGGGAAGAAAACGUACCAUCGAAUAAAUGGUGAGGCUGACGGUACCUUGAUAAGAAGCACCGGCUAACUACGUG
rnacentral:rRNA from 1 species